rnacentral:tRNA from 1 species
GAGGUUGUGGCUCAGUGGUAGAGUGCUUGCCUAGCACCUAGCACCCUGGGUUCCAUCCUCAGCACUACA